rnacentral:rRNA from 1 species
GAGCGCAAUCCUUGUCCUUAGUUGCCAGCACGUAAUGGUGGGAACUCUAGGGGAGACUGCCGGUGACAAACCGGGAGGAAGGGGGGGGAGGACGUCAAGUCAUCAUGGCCCUUAUGGGCAGGGCUACACACGUGCUACAAUGGGGAGUACAGAGGGUUGCCAACCAGCAAUGGGAGCUAAUCCCUUAAAACUUUUUGUAGUCCGGAUUGGAGUCUCCAACUCGACUCCAUGAAGUCGGAAUCGCUAGUAAUCGCGAAUCAGAAUGUCGCGGUGAAUACGUUCCCGGGUCUUGUACACACCCCCCGUCACACCAUGGAAGUAGGUUCCACCAGAAGUAGGUAGUCUAACCCUCGGGAGGACGCUUACCAC